rnacentral:rRNA from 1 species
UACGAGGGCUCCAAGCGUUAUCCGGAAUUACUGGGCGUAAAGGGUGUGUAGGCGGUUUUGUUAGUCGGUUGUUAAAGCUCCCCGCUUAACGGGGAAAGUGCAAUCGAAACGGCAAAUCUAGAAGAUGCGAGAGGUGAACAGAACUCAUGGUGUAGGGGUGAAAUCCGUUGAUAUCAUGGGGAAUACCAAAUGCGAAGGCAGUUCACUGGCGCAUUCUUGACGCUGAAACACGAAAGCGUGGGUAGCGAAUGGG